CCUACGGGAGGCAGCAGUGGGGGAUAUUGCACAAUGGGGGGAACCCUGAUGCAGCGACGCCGCGUGGGUGAAGAAGCGUUUCGGCGCGUAAAGCCCUGUCAGCAGGGAAGAAAAUGACGGUAUCUGAAGAAGAAGCCCCGGCUAACUACGUGCCAGCAGCCGCGGUAAUACGUAGGGGGCAAGCGUUACCCGGAUUCACUGGGUGUAAAGGGGGCGCAGACGGCGAUGCAAGCCAGGAGUGAAAGCCCCGGGCCCAACCCCGGGACUGCUCUUGAAACUGCUUGGCUGGAGUACAGGAGGGGCAGGCGGAAUGCCUGGUGUAGCGGUGAAAUGCGUAGAUAUCAGGAGGAACACCGGUGGCGAAGGCGGCCUGCUGGACUGCAACUGACGUUGAGGCCCGAAAGCGUGGGGAGCAAACAGGAUUAGAUACCCCUGUAGUC
rnacentral:rRNA from 1 species